rnacentral:rRNA from 1 species
GACGAACGCUGGCGGCGUGCUUAACACAUGCAAGUCGUACGGUAAGGCCCUUUCGGGGGUACACGAGUGGCGAACGGGUGAGUAACACGUGAGUAACCUGCCCACAACUUUGGGAUAACGCUAGGAAACUGGUGCUAAUACUGGAUAUGUGCCCCUGCUGCAUGGUGGGGGUUGGAAAGCUCCGGCGGUUGUGGAUGGACUCGCGGCCUAUCAGCUUGUUGGUGGGGUAGUGGCCUACCAAGGCGGCGACGGGUAGCCGGCCUGAGAGGGUGACCGGCCACAUUGGGACUGAGAUACGGCCCAGACUCCUACGGGAGGAAGCAGUGGGGAAUAUUGCACAAUGGGCGCAAGCCUGAUGCAGAAACGCCGCGUGCGGGAUGACGGCCUUCGGGUUGUAAACCGCUUUCAGCAGGGACGAAGCUUUUUGUGACGGUACCUGCAGAAGAAGCACCGGCUAACUACGUG